GGUCACACAAGGCGAUGAGGUCUACCUCCCGGAGACCCACCUGUCAACAGGUCCCCAAUCUGUGUCAUCUCAUCUCUCCACCACACAAAAUGCCCCAACUGAGCCAUGCUGGUAUUGUCUGAGGUCUCUUGACUCUGAGUCUCAUCCCAAUGUCACAAAACAGGAGGAAGACUCUGAUCCUGAAUCACAUCUGCCCUCUAGUGGCCAAAAAGUGAACUACCAGACCGAUCCCAGACCUCACUUUGGUGUAGCCUGUUCCUCCCACUCUACAUGUCGCCCCCUAUGGGGCAGCGAAGGACCUUGUUGGGGACCACGAAACCAGGAGCUGGCCGAACAGACAGACACCUGUCCACACUGUCACCUGGGCUUGCCCGCCGACACACUGCGCUGGCAUGAGGCAAAAUGUCUUCUGUUUGAUGGGCUGAGGAGCUUGAAGAAAGAAAAGUAAUCACUGUGAAAGAAAGAUGCAACUUGUACAUAUUUUAGAAAUAUAUUUCUACAUCAAUUUUCUGGGCAAAUCUUUCAGGAACAUUUUUGUUCAUGUUGUGCAAUUUAUUCCAGAGCAGAUAAACUG